rnacentral:rRNA from 1 species
GAGUUGUAAUUUGUAGAAGGUGCUUCGGAUGUAACAAUGGUACAAGUCCUUUGGAAUUGGGCGUCAUAGAGGGUGAUAACCCCGUUUGUGACCGCUUUGUUCAUCCAUGUGAAGCCCUUUCGAUGAGUCGAGUUGUUUGGGAAUGCAGCUCAAAAUGGGUGGUAGACUUCAUCUAAAGCUAAAUAUCAGCCAGAGACCGAUAGCGCACAAGUAGAGUGAUCGAAAGAUGAAAAGCCCUUUGAAAAGAGAGUCAAACAGCACGUGAAAUUGUUGAAAGGGAAGCGCUAGCCACCAGACUUGCUUGUAUUGUUCAGCYUCCUGAAAAGGUGGUGUAUUCUUUACUUGCAGGCCAGCAUCGGUUUCGACGGUCGGAUAAAAGCUUAUGGAAAGUAGCUUUCCUCCGGGGAAGUGUUAUAGCCUGAGUACAAUGCGACCAGUUGGGACCGAGGAACGCGCUUWUGCUCGGAUGUUGGCAUAAUGGUUGUUAGCGACCCGUCUUGAAACACGGACCAAGGAGUCGACCAAUUAAGCGAGCGUUAGGGUGUAAAACCCACGGCGCGUAAUGAAAGUAAACGUAGGUGGGAAGCCUUUGGCAGCACCAUCGACCGAUCUGAGUUCGCGAGGAUUUGAGUAUGAGUUUUAUUGGUCGGACCCGAAAGUCAGUAUACUCUUUCCCCUUUAAACUGAAGCAAAAUACUAACGAUUCUCUAGGAAGGUGAACUAUUCCCGAAUAGGUUGAAGUCAGGUGAAAACCUGAUGGAAGACCGCAGCGGUUCUGACGUGCAAAUCGAUCGUCAAAUUUAGGAAUAGGGGCGAAAGACUAAUCGAACCUUCUAGUAGCUGGUUCCUGUCGAAGUUUCCCUCAGGAUAGCAGCAACGAUAAACAGUCUCAUGAGGUAGAGCAACGAUUAGAGGCCUUGGGGUUGAAACAACCUUAACCUAUUCUCGAACUCCGAAUAUGUGAGAAGUCCUUGUUACUUAAUUGAACGUGGACAUUUGGAUGUACGUUGCUAGUGGGCCAUUUUUGGUAAGCAGAACUGGCGAUGCGGGAUGAACCGAACGUGAGGUUAAGGUGCCGGAAUACGCGCUUAUCAGGUACCACAAAAGGUGUUAGUUCAUCUAGACAGCCGGUACGUUUCUCCCAAUAUUUUCACUCAAGAAUUUUUGAGAUAUACUAACAAUCAUUGUAGGACGGUGGCCAUGGAAGUCGGAAUCCGCUAAGGAGUGUGUAACAACUCACCGGCCGAAUGAACUAGCCCUGAAAAUGGAUGGCACUCAAGCGUGUUACCUAUACCUCGCCGCCAUGGUAGAAACGAUGCCAUGGCGAGUAGGCAGGCGUGGAGGUCCGUAACAAAGCUUUGGGAG